AUUGAACGCUGGCGGCAGGCCUAACACAUGCAAGUCGAACGAGUGGCGGACGGGUGAGUAAUGCUUGGGAAUCUAGCUUUUGGAAGGGGAAAAUUACGGGAAACUGUAGCUAAUACCGCGUACCAUAGGAUGAGCCCAAGUGGGAGUAGGUAGUGGGUGAGGUAAAGGCUCACCAAGCCGACGAUCCCUAGCUGGUCUGAGAGGAUGACCAGCCACACUGGAACUGAGACACGGCCCAGACUCCUACGGGAAGCAGCAGUGGGGAAUAUUGCACAAUGGGCGCAAGCCUGACGCAGCCAUGCCGCGUGUAUGAAGAAGGCCUUCGGGUUGUAAAGUACUUUCAGUGGGGAGGCGUUAACCACAGAAGAAGCACCGGCUAACUCCGUGCCAGCAGCCGCGGUAAUUC
rnacentral:rRNA from 1 species